UUGACCUCGGAUCAGGUAGGGAUACCCGCUGAACUUAAGCAUAUCAAUAAGCGGAGGAAAAGAAACCAACAGGGAUUGCCUCAGUAACGGCGAGUGAAGCGGCAACAGCUCAAAUUUGAAAUCUGGCCUCUUUGGGGUCCGAGUUGUAAUUUGUAGAGGAUGUUUCGGGUACCGCCUCGGUUUAAAUUUCUUGGAACAGAAUGUCAAAGAGGGUGAGAGUCCCGUCUUGGACCGGCGGUAGGGCCCGUGUGAAACUCCUUCGACGAGUCGAGUUGUUUGGGAAUGCAGCUCAAAAUGGGUGGUAAAUUUCAUCUAAAGCUAAAUAUUGGCCAGAGACCGAUAGCGCACAAGUAGAGUGAUCGAAAGAUGAAAAGCACUUUGAAAAGAGAGUUAAACAGUAUGUGAAAUUGUUGAAAGGGAAGCGCUUACAACCAGACUUGAGCGCGGCGGUUCCCCCUUCCUUUUGGUUGGGUUACUCCGUCGUGUCCAGGCCAACAUCGGUUCUGGGGGUCGGUUAAAGACCUUGGGAAUGUACCUACCCUUCGGGCGUAGACUUAUAGCCCAGGGUGUCAUGCGGCCUCCCGGGACCGAGGAACGCGCUUCGGCUCGGAUGUUGGCGUAAUGGUUGUCAGCGACCCGUCUUGAAACACGGACCAAGGAGUCUAACAUCUAUGCGAGUGUUUGGGUGUCAAACCCGGAACGCGGAAUGAAAGUGAACGGAGGUGGGAAGCCUUGCGGCUGCACCAUCGACCGAUCCUGAUGUCUUCGGAUGGAUUUGAGUAAGAGCAUAGCUGUUGGGACCCGAAAGAUGGUGAACUAUGCCUGAAUAGGGUGAAGCCAGAGGAAACUCUGGUGGAGGCUCGCAGCGGUUCUGACGUGCAAAUCGAUCGUCAAAUUUGGGUAUAGGGGCGAAAGACUAAUCGAACCAUCUGGUAGCUGGUUCCUGCCGAAGUUUCCCUCAGGAUAGCAGUAACGUUUUCAGUUUUAUGAGGUAAAGCGAAUGAUUAGAGGCCUUGGGGUUGAAACAGCCUUAACCUAUUCUCAAACUUUAAAUAUGUAAGAAGUCCUUGUUGCUUAAUUGAACGUGGACAUUUGAAUGUACCGUUACUAGUGGGCCAUUUUUGGUAAGCAGAACUGGCGAUGCGGGAUGAACCGAACGUGAGGUUAAGGUGCCGGAAUGUACGCUCAUCAGACACCACAAAAGGUGUCAAUGCAUCCAGACAGCCGGACGGUGGCCAUGGAAGUCGGAAUCCGCUUAGGAGUGUGUAACAACUCACCGGCCGAAUGCAUUGGCCCUGAAAAUGGAUGGCGCUUAAGCGUGCUACCUAUACCUCGCCGUCAGGGUUGACAUGAUGCCCUGACGAGUAGGCAGGCGUGGAGGUCCGUGACGAAGC
rnacentral:rRNA from 1 species